UGUGGAUUGUCCUUUGGACAAUGGUAGGAGAGCGUUCUAAGGGCGUUGAAGCAUGAUCGUAAGGACAUGUGGAGCGCUUAGAAGUGAGAAUGCCGGUGUGAGUAGCGAAAGACGGGUGAGAAUCCCGUCCACCGAUUGACUAAGGUUUCCAGAGGAAGGCUCGUCCGCUCUGGGUUAGUCGGGUCCUAAGCUGAGGCCGACAGGCGUAGGCGAUGGAUAACAGGUUGAUAUUCCUGUACCACCUAUAAUCGUUUUAAUCGAUGGGGGGACGCAGUAGGAUAGGCGAAGCGUGCGAUUGGAUUGCACGUCUAAGCAGUAAGGCUGAGUAUUAGGCAAAUCCGGUACUCAUUAAGGCUGAGCUGUGAUGGGGAGAAGACAUUGUGUCUUCGAGUCGUUGAUUUCACACUGCCGAGAAAAGCCUCUAGAUAGAAAAUAGGUGCCCGUACCGCAAACCGACACAGGUAGUCAAGAUGAGAAUUCUAAGGUGAGCGAGCGAACUCUCGUUAAGGAACUCGGCAAAAUGACCCCGUAACUUCGGGAGAAGGGGUGCUCUUUAGGGUUAACGCCCAGAAGAGCCGCAGUGAAUAGGCCCAAGCGACUGUUUAUCAAAAACACAGGUCUCUGCUAAACCGUAAGGUGAUGUAUAGGGGCUGACGCCUGCCCGGUGCUGGAAGGUUAAGAGGAGUGGUUAGCUUCUGCGAAGCUACGAAUCGAAGCCCCAGUAAACGGCGGCCGUAACUAUAACGGUCCUAAGGUAGCGAAAUUCCUUGUCGGGUAAGUUCCGACCCGCACGAAAGGCGUAACGAUUUGGGCACUGUCUCAACGAGAGACUCGGUGAAAUCAUAGUACCUGUGAAGAUGCAGGUUACCCGCGACAGGACGGAAAGACCCCGUGGAGCUUUACUGUAGCCUGAUAUUGAAAUUCGGCACAGCUUGUACAGGAUAGGUAGGAGCCUUUGAAACGUGAGCGCUAGCUUACGUGGAGGCGCUGGUGGGAUACUACCCUAGCUGUGUUGGCUUUCUAACCCGCACCACUUAUCGUGGUGGGAGACAGUGUCAGGCGGGCAGUUUGACUGGGGCGGUCGCCUCCUAAAAGGUAACGGAGGCGCUCAAAGGUUCCCUCAGAAUGGUUGGAAAUCAUUCAUAGAGUGUAAAGGCAUAAGGGAGCUUGACUGCGAGACCUACAAGUCGAGCAGGGUCGAAAGACGGACUUAGUGAUCCGGUGGUUCCGCAUGGAAGGGCCAUCGCUCAACGGAUAAAAGCUACCCCGGGGAUAACAGGCUUAUCUCCCCCAAGAGUUCACAUCGACGGGGAGGUUUGGCACCUCGAUGUCGGCUCAUCGCAUCCUGGGGCUGUAGUCGGUCCCAAGGGUUGGGCUGUUCGCCCAUUAAAGCGGUACGCGAGCUGGGUUCAGAACGUCGUGAGACAGUUCGGUCCCUAUCCGUCGUGGGCGUAGGAAAUUUGAGAGGAGCUGUCCUUAGUACGAGAGGACCGGGAUGGACAUACCUCUGGUGUACCAGUUGUCGUGCCAACGGCAUAGCUGGGUAGCUAUGUGUGGACGGGAUAAGUGCUGAAAGCAUCUAAGCAUGAAGCCCCCCCU
rnacentral:rRNA from 1 species